GCCGGGUGUGGUGGCGCACGCCUGUAGUCCCAGCUGCUUGGGAGGCUGAGGCGGGAGAAUCUCUUGAACCUGGGAGGCAGAGGUUGCAGUCAGCCAAGACUGUGCCAUUGCACUCCAGCCUGUGUGACAGGGUGAGACUCCGUCUCAAAAAAANNNNNNNNNNUUUUUUUGAGACGGAGUCUCACCCUGUUGCCCAGGCUGGAGUGCAGUGGCCCGAUCUCGGCUCACUGCAAGCUCCGCCUCCCGGGUUCACGCCAUUCUCCUGCCUCAG
rnacentral:SRP_RNA from 1 species